AUCAGUGGUUCGCUAUCUGUCACCAUCAAAACACUCCACAAAUCCCGCGAAUGAUUCGCUUCCUUAUAAACCAUUGAAUCAGAUACCGAGGCAGUCAGAUUCUAAAUGAAGCAUCGGACGUCACUGAUCACGUGACUCUGGCCAAACAAAUCAAGCUUCGACACACGCACCGGAGCGUCAGCUUCAAGCGGGCCAUCACUACUUUAUGGCUGUCUCCCCCAGGAGGAGUGUGAAAGGCCAGAGAGAGGAGACAGGGGAGCAAAGAAAAAUAUGGACUUUUUGGAGACGGCACGACACGGGAGUCAAGGGAGUGCACGGCAGUUUUUUGUGUGAAUUAUUUACACCACUGUAAAUAAAUGCACUGUUCAUCACAAAGAGUCCAAGGUUUGUGUCUUCAUUUCCCACAUCCCCAAAGUGUGCCACACAGCCAGUGACAGCCAUGGAUUUAACACCUUUCCUCUGCUUUUUCCUUACUACAUAUUUUUGGGGAUUUGCUUCUGCUCUCGAUGACCAAAAACAAGUUGUAGAAGCUGGAGAGAAUGCACUACUGAAGUGUUGUGAUUCCAGUAUCGGUAAAAUCGAAAAGUUAUCAUGGAUCAGGAGAGAUGUGGGGACAAAUCUGCUUGUUUUCUUCUACCGAGAAAAUCGCCUCUAUGAAAACAUCCAGCAUCCAUCCUUUCGUGGCCGAGUGAAGCUGAGUGAUCCACAAAUUAAAGAUGGAAAUGUGUCCCUCGUUCUCUUCAACACCACCACUAAUGACACUGGAACAUAUGAGUGUUAUGUGGUAGGCACUCACGCUGGACGCCGUAAGAGAGCAGUUUCUGAAGCCCAGCAUGUAGUGCAGCUGAAAGUUAAAUCUAUAAGUCAGCCACGAGGACUCACGGAGGAUGGAUCUGUUGAACUGAUGGUUGGUCUGUCAGCUUCUGCUGGGCUUCUUGUUGCUACUGUUGCUGGUUUUGUGAUCUACAGAAAAUUUGCGAAUUCAAAUUAUCGCUCUCCUUCUGAACAAAAGCCAGUUUCCAGGACUCCCAAGGAAACUGGAAAGAUGACAAUGGAAGUCCAACCCGAGAGUCCUCUCCUAUUAAACAGUUAAAUACAGACUGAAGAAGUCACUUGGACGAGAGAUGAAACGUUUCUCCUACAAAACGCUACGUCUGAAUGAACAGAAUCAACUUUUGGAGAGUUAAAUAUAUAAAUUUUUGUUUUCAAGUCUCAAAACAGAGUUAAAGCUAAUGUGCACUGUUGUUCUCUCAGCCCACUGAGAGGAAAAGCACAUCUUUAUCAAAAACUCCUGCAACAACCUCUUUUUGUGGAUUGUGUGUUUUUAUUGUCUACUUUUUUUUUAUUUAGGAAAGUGCAUGUUAAUUACAUGUAAAAAAAAAUUACAUGAAUGUAAACAUACCAGAUUAUAGCCAAGGGCUAAUUUCCAUCUGUUGUCCAUAAAACAUAAAAAAUAAACAUAAUAAUUCAUAAAAAAUUCAUAAUUCAUUCAUAAUCUAUUUAUCCCCUUCGUAUAUUUUAUUUAUAUUUGUCUCUGUAUUUAUAUGUGUGUGUGUGUGUGUGUGUGUGUGUGUGUGUGUGUGUGUGUGUGUGUGUGUGUGUGUGUAUAUAUAUAUAUAUAUAACAUUCUGUAACUGUAACUUCUGUCGUUGCUGUGCUUUUUUGGAAACCGAAUUUCCCAGAGGAACCCACCCGAGGGAUUAAUAAAGUUCUAUCUUAUCUUAUAAUAAAAACUCCAUCACCAAACUCACACAUACACACCAUUCUGUUCCCAAAUGAAACAUUAAAACUGUACAACUCA
ensembl:lncRNA